GCAAGAUUAGUUUAGUGGUAGAACGGGACGUUGCCAACGUUCAAACACGGGUUCGAUUCCCGUAUUUUGCA
rnacentral:tRNA from 1 species